GGGUGGGGGUGGUGGAGAUUUCCUGUCUUCUUUCUUUUCUCCUCCUCGGUUUGUCGGUGCGACAGAAAAAUCUUGAUUUGGUUGAAAUGAUGCGUGCAUGAACCUGGUGGAGAUACAGCUAAGUUUGGCUGAUCCCGUAAGCAGAUUGUUGUUCCCGCUGGUUGGUUUUAUAAAGGGUGUGGAGGAAUUUCUGUGGAUCAACUUGGGAAUUUGAUUUGAGGCAAGUGUUUCUCACUCAACUGAUUGAAAUGACUCGUUUAAAUCUGUAAGUGUGUAUCACACUCGAUGCAUGUCUCAUUAAGUAUUUGUUAUAAGUUCUUCUUUGAAUUAAUGGAGUUGCAAAACAUGGAAAUUAGGGUUCAUACUCGUUUUGGGGUUUUAUUAUAAUUUGAUGAUUAAACUUCUCAAUUCAAGCAAUAUCAAAGCAUGGGAUAACUGUAUUUUACGGUAACUUGAGGAUUUUCAAAGUUGUAUAGUUGAAAUUGAUAAAUUUGGGGUUUAUGAAAUUUGAGGCAUUUUCUUAAAUUUGUUGGAAAUGUCUAGCUCAUGCUAAAUGCUUCCAUGGUUAUGAAAAUUUAUUUCAUUAUGUGUACAGUGGUGAUACUGAGCUUAAUUUCUUAUAUAUGGGAUUGGAGACAUCAGUUCUUAUUUUCUUUUCUUUCUUCUUCUCACUCUGGCAACUGAAAUUGAGAGGAAGUGACUGAAAUCACGCGCAAGUGAUCAACUUUGGGGAUACAUGAGUUUAUUGAGCUGUUUUCCAUGUUGGCUAGUUCCAUAAACGGACCAAGGAAAUUUCUUACUCCUGAUUUUCAUCUUUAUGGGAAACGUUUGAGCUGCAACGCUGAUCCAGAUAGGAUACGAUUUCAGCGUAUUCAGGGAAUUGUUGGGUUCCAUAAAGAUCUUGGGUAAUUCGAGUUCAAGUUGCUCAGAAGAAUUUGAAGGUCCGGUCACUUGAGUGGCGUAUCGGAGAGUCGGAGUUCAAGUUGCUCAGAAGAAUUUGAAGGUUUGGUCACUUGAGUGGCGUAUCGGAGAGUCGGAGUUUGCUAAGUGGGCUGAAAUCCGAUUCGCUGGGAGUCCAGAUUUUCUGAUCCGUCACACUAGUCGUAACUAGUAUCACACAGGAAAUGUCGGGAUUAGGUUUCCCAGUUAUUUCAGCAAAAAUUCCUUUAUAAAGUUCCCAGUCAGCCUCCCGAUUUUUAAGGAACUGAACCACCCAUAAAAUUAACGUACACAGAGUUAGUUGGAUU